CGGAACUUAGCUCAGCUUGGUAGAGCGCAUCGUUUGGGACGAUGGGGUCGAAGGUUCGAAUCCUUCAGUUCCGACCA
rnacentral:tRNA from 1 species